UACUUCCUCAGCAUAUUUUGGUUAUUGCGAAUUGCGAUUUAUUGUACAAUUCGUAAAUGUUUGGCUACCUAGGCUGGCUUGGCUUGGCUGCAAUGAGCCGACGUUCACACGUGGUGGGUAUUGUUGGUGGCACCGAGCAGCAUCCCUGAAGCCCACAGGGGUGGCCGUGCUGCAGGAGGGGCGCGGGCGUGGGGCGUGCGGCGAGGCGGCGCCGCCUCCGCCGCUCCCAGGUCGCGCGGCGCGCCGGCCCGGCCGCCCGGCCCAGUCCGCGACUAGCAGCGCCGCCGUGCGCACGUGCCGCGCGCGCGCCGCUCGCCGCGCUGCCUCGUGGCGACCGCGCAUCAUACCACCACUACACCACGCACCACGCUCUCCGACCGGAGUUGCGGUUCGCAUCUUACCGGGCAGCAUUAGAGUCAAAUAGUUAUUUCUAAUACUGUCAGGUAAAGAUGUCGUCCGCGCUCCACGUUCUACGUUUGACUUCUGGAAUUCUUCGAAACCGGUCCAGCAACGGCGGUUAUAUUUACCGGAUUCCGGUGCUCAUUGGAAGCUGUUCUGUACGCAUCAGCCACAGGGUGGUGCGGCGCUGCGGGCCCGGCGCCGGCCACACGCACCGUCCCCCGGCCCGCGCCCAGCCUGUGUCCGGCCCGCGCCGCGCGGCUGCUGGACGGCCAGGUCCUCAUGUACUGUAGCACUAUUAAGUAAAAUCUGAUAACUUUGAAAAUAAAUGUGUAUUAUAAAAGUGA